rnacentral:rRNA from 1 species
CGGCGAACGGGUGAGUAACGCGUGGAUUAUCUGCCCUGAGGUGGGGGAUAACCCGGGGAAACUCGGGCUAAUACCGCAUAUGAUCGAGAGAUCAAAGGGGCGCAAGCUCCCGCCACAGGAGGAGUCCGCGUUCGAUUAGCUAGUUGGUAGGGUAAUGGCCUACCAAGGCGACGAUCGAUAGCCGGCCUGAGAGGGUGAUCGGCCACACUGGAACUGAGACACGGUCCAG